rnacentral:rRNA from 1 species
AUUGAACGCUGGCGGCAGGCCUAACACAUGCAAGUCGAACGGUAACAGGAAGAAGCUUGCUUCUUUGCUGACGAGUGGCGGACGGGUGAGUCAUGUCUGGGAAACUGCCUGAUGGAGGGGGAUAACUACUGGAAACGGUAGCUAAUACCGCAUAACGUCGCAAGACCAAAGAGGGGGACCUUCGGGCCUCUUGCCAUCGGGUGUGCCCAGAUGGGAAUAGCUAGUAGGUGGGGUAACGGCUCACCUAGGCGACGAUCCGUAGCUGGUCUGAGAGGAUGACCAGCCACACUGGAGCUGAGACACGGUCCAGACUCCUGCGGGAGGCAGCAGUGGGGAAUAUUGCACAGUGGGCGCAAGCCUGAUGCAGCCAUGCCGCGUGUAUGAAGAAGGCCUUCGGGUUGUAAAGUACUUUCAGCGGGGAGGAAGGGAGUAAAGUUAAUACGUUGGCUCAUUGACGGUACCCGCAGAAGAAGCACCGGCUAACUACGUG